rnacentral:rRNA from 1 species
ACAGGGAUUGCCCUAGUAACGGCGAGUGAAGCGGCAACAGCUCAAAUUUGAAAUCUGGCUCUUUCAGGGUCCGAGUUGUAAUUUGCAGAGGGCGCUUUGGCGUUGGCAGCGGUCCAAGUUCUUUGGAACAGGACGUCACAGAGGGUGAGAAUCCCGUACGUGGUCGCUAGCCUUCGCCGUGUAAAGCCCCUUCGACGAGUCGAGUUGUUUGGGAAUGCAGCUCUAAAUGGGAGGUAAAUUUCUUCUAAAGCUAAAUACUGGCCAGAGACCGAUAGCGCACAAGUAGAGUGAUCGAAAGAUGAAAAGCACUUUGGAAAGAGAGUCAAAUAGCACGUGAAAUUGUUGAAAGGGAAGCGCUUGCAGCCAGACUUGCCUGUAGUUGCUUAUCCGGACUUUUGUCCGGUGCACUCUUCUGCGGGCAGGCCAGCAUCAGUCUAGGCGGUUGGAUAAAGGUCUCUGUCAUGUACCUCUCUUCGGGGAGGCCUUAUAGGGGAGACGACAUGCAACCAGCCUGGACUGAGGUCCGCGCAUCUGCUAGGAUGCUGGCGUAAUGGCUGUAAGCGGCCCGUCUUGAAACACGGACCAAGGAGUCUAACAUCUAUGCGAGUGUUUGGGUGUCAAGCCCAGACGCGUAAUGAAAGUGAACGGAGGUGGGAACCCUUUGGGUGCACCAUCGACCGAUCCUGAUGUCUUCGGAUGGAUUUGAGUAAGAGCAUGGCUGUUGGGACCCGAAAGAUGGUGAACUAUGCUUGAAUAGGGUGAAGCCAGAGGAAACUCUGGUGGAGGCUCGCAGCGGUUCUGACGUGCAAAUCGAUCGUCAAAUUUGGGCAUAGGGGCGAAAGACUAAUCGAACUAUCUAGUAGCUGGUUCCUGCCGAAGUUUCCCUCAGGAUAGCAGUAACGUAUUCAGUUUUAUGAGGUAAAGCGAAUGAUUAGAGGCCUGGGGGUUGAAACAACCUUCACCUAUUCUCAAACUUUAAAUAUGUAAGAAGUCCUUGUUACUUGAUUGAACGUGGACACUUGAAUGUACCGUUACUAGUGGGCCAUUUUUGGUAAGCAGAACUGGCGAUGCGGGAUGAACCGAACGCGGGGUUAAGGUGCCAGAAUAUACGCUCAUCAGACACCACAAAAGGUGUUAGUUCAUCUAGACAGCAGGACGGUGGCCAUGGAAGUCGGAAUCCGCUAAGGAGUGUGUAACAACUCACCUGCCGAAUGAACUAGCCCUGAAAAUGGAUGGCGCUCAAGCGUAUUACCCAUACCCCGCCGCCGGGGCAGAAUUUAUGCCCCGGCGAGUAGGCAGGCGUGGAGGCUCGUGACGAAGCCUUGG